UCAAAGAUUCUCGUGACGUAAUUUUCAAAAUGUUUAUUUACGUGUAGUGUGCAUGCUUCGUUUACUAGUUGCUUCCUAGUAAAUAACUCUUUGUAAUUCUGUGGUACUAUUUCAUGUAAACGUAUCGUGAGUGACUUAUUAGUGCAUGUUUCCAAAUGUGGCAAUAAAUAUUGCCUCGCGUGCUUACGUGCUGUGGUAUGGUAAACACCAAAAAUACAUUUCCAUAAACGAAUAUUAUUGGGCGUUCCUCUUUUGUGAGUUGAAGGCCUUGUGUGCAAAAUAAAGGAGAAGAUGCAACUUUAUUUUGUUGCCCGUUAAUUUGCGUUACAUAACAACCUUGUUUGUCCGCAAGCGUCGAGAGUCCGUGAUAGUUAUGUUUCUAUAUGAGUUGGAAGCAGGAAUAUACGUUGGCAUUAUAGGCGAACUAGAAAUAUCUCGGAGUCGAGUUUUCAUAUUGUUACGACCAUUUUUUUCCCAAUAUCUGUGCUUCGUAGUGUUUAAUACAUUGUGUUACAGAAUUCACGAAAAUGUUGAAAUAAUUACUCACAUUUCAAACCACCACUUGGCAUCAGCAGCGUAAACUGAAAAAAAACCAUGUUCUGUUAAUGAAGCCAUGUUAUCCCUUCAAGACGUUAUUAAUAAAAGAAAAAUAAAAACAAGCAGAUUAAAAUGUCUCCUGUCACAGUACAUGAAAUUGAGAAUAUAAUUAGAGAGAUGGAAAAAUCAAGAAUAAUUGGAAUUGACGGUAUCACUUUUAAAUUACUGAAGGAAUGCUGCAAUCCAAUAAGCAAAAUUUUGGGCCAUAUAUUUAAUGAAUCCAUCCAGCAUGGGAUUGUUCCUGAGAGACUGAAGUGUGAUAUUGCCAACCUUUCUUUAAAAAAGGUGAUAAAACUGACAUUACCAACUACCAGCCUAUCUCCUUUUUACAACCUUUUCUAAAAUUCUUGAGAAAUGGGUUCACAAGACUUAUUGACCACCUCAUUCAUUAUAAGAUAUUAAAUAGUUACCACUUUUAAUUUCAACAGGGUGUAUCAACAGAACAAACUAUUUUCUUCUUCACCCAUCAAAUCUUAGGACUCUUUUUAAUAAUGAAUUAUCUCCUGUUGUUAUCUUGUGUGACUUAAGGGCUGUGAUAGUGUUAACCAUGAAAUACUCUUAGCAAAGGCGGAAUAUUAUGGUAUAAGUGGAUCAGCUGGAGCAUGGAUUAGAUCCUACCUAACUGAAAGAAAGCAUAUGAUCAUGUUGAAUGACUGAGGGGCACUCUGUGUCAUCUAGCUGGAAGUCUGUUGGGUCAUACCAUGCCAAGUACCCAGGCCUUGACACCAACCAUGUCAGAUUUUGAUGAAACUUGGUACAAUUACUUCUUUUACCAUCCUGAAAGCACUUGUAAAUUUUUUUUGCUCUAUCUCUUAUAGUUUUUUUAAUAAAUUUUUAAAGUUGUUAGAUUUGGCGUUGUUUCAGCAGUCGGAAAUCGUAACUUAAACGUGUUCUCACAACUAAAAAAAAUUUUCUGUUGAUCAUGUCAAAGACACAGUAUUUCAACAUUGAGUGAGAUGGAAAUGCCAUUUUAGAGAUGCUGCUGAAUGGAGAGGUGUCAGAAUCAAUUUAUCAUCAGAUGAAGAAGAGAGAAGGAAGUCAGAGUGGGGGCUGACAAAAGAAACCAAUGAUGAGUCAACUGCAAAUAAUGAAAAUGGUGUGUGCAGUGACAACGAGAGUGAUAUUCAAGACAGUGAUUCACUUACCAACAAUGAGCUCAGUGAUGUAAAAUACAUUUUGUCAGAAAGAAAGACAUCAAGUGGCGUCAUCGUCCUCUCUCUAUACUGGAUUCAUAUCACGAAUGGGAACACUGUAUUGAAGAACAGGAAAUACUUUCUCCUUCAACUUAUUUCAGCAAGUACAUUACCAAUGAUCUGUUUAGUAAUAUGGCUGAUAUGACAAACUUAUAUGCCUUGCAGAGUGGAACAAUUAGCAAUUUCAAACAAACACCACCAGCGGAACUCCGAAUAUUGUUUGGGCUUCAUAUAAUUAUGGGAACUCUAAAAUUACCUAGAGUCUGAAUGUAUUGGGACACAACAUUGAAAAUGCAAUUAUUUUUGGACAGUGUGCCCAGAAAUAGAUUCUUCAAACUCAUAACAAAUUUACAUCUUGUUAACAACAUGAAUAUACCAGCAGACAAUAAAGACAAGUUAUAUAAAGUUUGGCCUACAUACACUGCCAUCCGUAACAGGAUACCUCGAAUAGAAAACGUGGCCGACCAUCUGCCACACCUCCAGAUACACCUGUUCAAAGACGACAAGGAGAAACUAGGCCUCCUGAAGAGAUUCAGUUUGAUGGAACACAGCACUUUCCUCUUCAUGAAAGUGGUGCACUCCCUGCCAGGUGCGAAUUUCCGGGAUGCAAGAGACGUUCAUGAAUAAAAUGUGAAAAAUGUAAUGUACAUCUUUGUAAAAGGAAAAAACUGUCUCCGUUCAUUUCAUGUCAAUUAGAACCACAUACUGGACAUAAUUCCUGACUCAUUUCAUUUUUUAAUUAAAACUAUGGUGAGUUUUGCAUGUAUUUUGUGUGUAAAUCGUUUCAAUUUUAUGUGUAAUGAUUAAAUAAAUUAGUUUUGUUUGCUAUGAUUUCAGUGUUGUUUGAGACCCAGUGUACAGUUUACAAUUUUUUUUUCGAAAAUGGUAACAUAUCAUUUUAUAAGUGUUGCUUCUAAAAUCAAUAAAAAAUCAUCCAAGUCCA